UACGUAGGGUGCGAGCGUUGUCCGGAAUUAUUGGGCGUAAAGGGCUCGUAGGCGGUUGGGUAAGUCGGGUGUGAAAACUCAGGCUCAACUCUGAGACGCCACUCGAUACUGCUCUGACUCGAGUCCGGUAGGGGAGCGUCGGAAUUCCCGGUGUAGCGGUGAAAUGCGCAGAUAUCAGGAGGAACACCGAUUGCGAAGGCAGCUCGCUGGGACGUAAACUGACGCUGAGACGCGAA
rnacentral:rRNA from 1 species